AUACCAAUGAGUUCAGUUGUCUUUUUACAAAGUAGGAGUUUUCGCAUAAGUUUCAUCGUAAUAAAAGCACUAUAUACAGAAUAUUUAAAUACUGACGAUUAAAUGCAUCGGUGCCUAUGGCAAGCAAUACUUAAAGCGUUUUCUUCCCUCACCUACCCGGUUUUGUUAUCCAGUAAAUAAACAACGAUCGAGAGAAAUGGGUGCCAUUACGCAAAAGGAUGUUUAGUUCAUUCUUGAGAUUUCUUUUACUGGUUCGCUUCGGCUGAAUACCGACAUUUGACGUUAAACAGCGCGAGCCAAACGACAUGGUUCACAAAGUGACUGCUUUUACUCUGCUGUGUGUUCUUACGAUUCUAAUUGUUGGGGUAUCAUGUACUCCAGCAAUUACGAAACAAAAACUAGAAGCAAUGCUUUUAAAAAUACUGUGGGAAAGAGUAUACAAGCACUUGCCACCUUCUAUGAGAGAAAAAGCAAUCAAAGCUCUUAAGAACAAUGGUGACUAUGACAAGUUUAUUAGACAAUUACAAAAAGUGAAAAAAGAAAAAGUUCAGCGUCUGAUGAAUCUGUUUGCUGAUAUACUUAUAGAGUACAUAAGUUAAACGUACUUACCUGAUGAUUAAAACUGGAAUAUUAAUUUAAUUUAUAAUAUUUAUAAAACGCUAUUAAAAAUAUUGUACUUUGGAA